CAAAGACAACACUGCACCUCAGUGGGCAUGGACAUUUCCAUCUGCACAAAUAAUAUUCUCUACUUUUCACUCAAGCCAAUAUCCUAGACUGCAAGAGGCAGAGGGGCUAUGAUGGGCAUGCAAAAUAAGAAAUGGGUAACUUAGACACUCACUCAUCCUGGACUGAAAACUGAGACGAGUACAUCAGACACAACUGAGCAGACAGCUGCAUAAUCAAGUCUGAAUUACUGAAAAUAAGAACUUUUUCAAAGUUUCUAUCCAUGACAUUUAUGUAGCCCUUAAUGAAGAGAGAAG